rnacentral:rRNA from 1 species
GGAAUAACUGUAUCCAUAAAACUAAAAAGAAAUUUCUUAAUAGGUGAAAAUUCCUUUAAUUAAUAUAAUAGACGAGAAGACCCUAAGAAUUAUAUAUUAAAAUUGUAAAUUUACAAUAAAUUUUUGUUGGGGCAACAGAUUUGGUAAAAUCAAUAAUCUUCAAAAUUUACAUACUAAGUAUAUUUAAUAGGAAUUUAAUUACCUUAGGGAUAACAGCAUUAUUAAUAUAUUAGAUUGUGACCUCGAUGUUGGACUAGGGACUUUUAAAGUAAGCCAUUUUGAAAGAUUGUUCUGUUCGAACAUAGAAC